rnacentral:lncRNA from 1 species
AUGCGGAUUCCGCGCCGCCCCGGCUCGUGCUGCUUGAGGCGACCGCCACCCUCACCACCGCCCGUGCACAGGCGGCGCCGGCAGCCGCCGCUCGCGCCCGCUCCCCGGGGCCGCCUCACUGGCUCCCCCCUCCCUCCCUCCCUCCCUCUCUCCCUCUCUCCCUCCUCCUCCUCUGGCACCUCCUCUUCAUCCGCUGCUCCUCCCGAGAUCUGGGACUAUGCGGAGCGCGCGCGGGAGUCGAGACGCCCGGCCCGUGCGCGCGACUGGGAGGAGGGAGGAGGCGACGGUCACGUGGGGCAGGGGCGUCCGAAGGUGCCGGCUCGGAUCGGCUCGGCGCUGGGCCGCCGCCACUACGCCUGGGCCUCGCGGCUUCCCCACCCUAGUCCCGCAGCCGCCGGCCCCCGCCCCAUACACCGCGCCCGCCCGGGUGUGCGCGCCGCUGAAGGCCCCCAGACCGGAGCUGUAUGCCGAGUUGUUUCUGCUUCCAUGACCAAGUUGCUGGCAGAACUCAAAUCCAAGUCUUCCAGGACCUUUUCAUUAUUCCACAAGAAAUCCAACUUAGGAAGUUAGCAACUGGUUCAAAACUCCUAAAACUCAUUUCUACAAUUUCUCAGCAACUCUUCUGCUCUUCCUGUGUGAGCUGUGACUGAAUCUAUCCUGGAUGAAGGCCUUGACCUAACUGGCUUCUCUGCUUGCCUCUCUUCCCAUAUGUGGCUAUUCUCAGCACAGCCCCAGAGUGAUCAUGUGCAAGUAAGUUAUGUUGAUUUUCUACUUAAAAUCCCUAGUCCAUGCAACUCAAAGUGAGAGAAGCCUGUAUAAUGCUAUCAAGGCUGGUUGGUGCUACUCUCCUUCUUACUCGCUCUGAUCCAGCUACAGUGCCCUCGUGGAUUCUUGGAACACUCUAGGUGUGCUACCACCUCAGGGCAUUGCACUGGAAGCAGCCUUACCACUGCUUUUUUCCUCAGUUAUUGCUCCCUUCCUGUCUUCAAAGUCUUGACUCAACUGGUUCCCUCUUGGUGAGGCUUACUCUUAUCUUGUGCAAAAUGAUAUAUUCUAUAUUCCUCUUCCUCCUUACACUGAGUCCUUUGCACUGAGAGUUUUUUUUUUUUCUCUUUCUAACAUACUGGUCAGUUUGCCUAUUGACUAUGUCUAUUGUCUGUCUCCCUGUAUAAGAAUUCAAGUUCUAUUAUGUCAGGGAUUUUUACUCUGCAGUUCACUGCAAUAACCCCAAUGCACAGAGCAGGAUCUGACAUAUAGAAGGCCUCCAGUAAUUAUCUGGAGGAUUUAUGGAAUGAAUGAGUCCAUGAGCAUGAUUCUAUGUCAAACAUUGAGUAGAUUGGAAAACCCAAUCGACAACCCCGAAGUGAGCUGAAUUAGUUUCCACAGUGGAUGGAAAUGAUCUACCCUUCAAACCUGUUUUCUAUGUGUCAUAAAGAGAAAGAAUAAUUUUUUUCCCACAUAACAGAGGAAUGCUUUGAGAACUAAUUAAAUGGUAACAUGGAGAAAGCAUUUUGAUUUUCUAAGAGAAAGCACUUUGUUAAUUUGAGGUUUCUAUUGUAUGAAGGAAUUCUAAGUGACACAGGGGCAAGUACAAAGACAAGAACAAUGUUAAAGGGAUUAUGCUGUUCACAAUGCUACACUGACAUUUUACAGGAUAAUUGAUUUAAGCAUGAUAUAAGCAGGGUGGAAAAAGAAAAUGGUUUGAGAAAUCCUACCCCAAAUGACAGGUUUUCAAGAAAUACCUUCUUCUUUGUAAUGACUCUCAAUUAUUUAGAAUAUAAUACCUUCUUUAAUGAAUCGUUCUCCACUUUUACCAUCCUUUUGUCCAUUUUGUGGCCGUUUUCCUGCUAAUUAGAACUUCCAGGCCAAUGUGAGAGGACCAGCAAAGAUAAAGAAGUAGAAACUAAGAAUUGUACUUAUCAUGAACUUAUUUUGUGUUCCUUCCUGGAAAUGUUUAAACUUGAUCUAGAAUACUUUUACAGUUAUCCAGUUUUUAGAAGUUACACUUUUUUCAGUUAAUUGAGCAGUAUUGUGAGUGAGCCAGUGUGCAAGCUGUGGGUCCAAGGAGCACAGAAAGUGAUGAGAUUUUGUUCCUGCCCGUUCUACAGAUUGGCAUGCUAGACAAGGUAUCAAAACAUCUGAAUUUUCACCCUGACUCCCCUGCUUAAAAUCAAGGCUACAUUAGGCAAGCAGCUUGAUCACUCUAAGCCUCAGCUUCUUUAACUGUGGACAAAAUUUCUACCAUGAUUUGUUUAGCUCUGCUGCAAAAAUCUUGCUACUCCAGAAUGUGGUCACAGCCCAGGGGGCUGAAUUGGAAUGAUACCAUCAGAUUGGAGAUAGUGUCCCAGCAGAAGAAUUAAAUGUUUAGAAUAAGCCAUCCCUGGGGCUCUCACCAGCAGACUCUUUUUAAAGAUUUAGUUAUUCAUUUGAAAGAGCUAGAAAGAGAGGGAGAGAAUCUUCCAUGUGUUGAUUCACUCCUCUGAUGGCUGCAAUGGCCAGGGCUGAGGCAGCAGGAAGCCAAGAGCCAGGAGCUUCAUCUGGGUCUCCCAUGUGGGUGGGUGGCAUGGGCCCCAAGCACUUGGGCCAUCCUCCACUGCUUUUCCUAGUCCAUUAGCAGGGAGCUCGGUCAGAAAUGGAGCAGCCAUGACAGGAACUUCCACCUAUGUGGGAUGCAGGCAUCACAGGCAGAGGCUUGAUGCCAUACAGAGUUUUAAAUUAGAUCAGGAAUAUCUUCCAGAUGGACAAAAACAAGGAAAACACAGCAGUAUUUCAGAUGGGUUGGACAACAUGUGCCUAGUUAUAGAAGCAUGAAUAAAGGUGAAGGUUUGAUGGACA